AGAGUAAACUGGCACAGACCAAAACUAUGGUGAGAAUAAAUUCCUAGGAAUCAGCUUAUAACUUCAUAGACGAUUGAGAUGUAGUGUCCCAGAACAUUUGCUAGUACAGAUGUAGCCCCCAAAUCCCUGUCAAAUGCACAUAGAGUAUGUAUAUAUACACUUACAUAUUAUCUAUAUAUACUUCUGUGGAAUUUUGUGUACUUAAACUGUAUACUUAUAAGUACCAAGUUUUGUCUACGUAGGAAGGAUUUCUUGGCAUGAGCACGUCAGAGAGGCGUUCACAUUGCUGGCUGACUAGUAAUCUCAACUUCCAAGUGUCUUCAUUCCUCUCUUCCACAUUGACCUUGAGUUUCUAUCUUUCCAGACACUACAAUUUUGUUCUGCAUAACCGGAAACGGGGGAGAUGGGGGGGGGGGGAAUUUUCACACUCAUUUUCACAACUGGAGCAUGCACUCCUCCAUGCUUAGAGGUGUUUGCCUGGAGAGUGCUUCCACUUCUGAGAUUUGCUGCGGACCUCUGCAGCACAGUUUUACACACACGCUGUGCAAGGGCAAGCAGAUCCCAGGAGCAGUGAUGAGCCUAGAGCUCUUCUGUGAGCGAGCACCUCAGGAGAGUGGCAAGGGCCUGAGCCUAAAGCCAGAGCAAUGCACUCCGUGACUGACCAAGCUGAGUCAGAAGGAAAUGAGCUGCUCCACGGUAGCACAGCAGGAACUGCUGCAAGGACUCAGUCAUACACACAGGCAGGCAGGGCAGCCUGUAACUCAAAGCACGUAUAAAUGUGCUUCGCAGCCGGGGUUUGGCAAGCCCAUGCCUUGACAUGGCACCGACAUGGCUUGGGGAACCUCCGCUGCAGGCUGGUGUGGGCUGCCUUGCUCAGCCCUGAACCCAGGCGUAUCUCCUCCCGUCACAAAAUCCCUCCCGGCGCCUCUGGCCGCCGCCCGCCCUCCCCUCGGCGGCGUUUCUCAACUUGCCCGUCAGGGGGCAGCAGCAGCGCGCAUCAACGAGACCCGAGCAACGGCUCCAACGGCCGCCGGGGCGCGGCGUCCCGCCACGGCGGCUGCCCGCCUGUUUUGGAGCCUGCAGCUCCCGAGGAAAGCUAGGAGCCCAUCCCGGUGGUGGGAAGAGGGCAUCUCUAGGUUCUCUUCACGACAGUAGGGCGGUGGCACUGAGCUGCCUUCCCACCACAAAGCACACAGAUCCGAGGUGCAGAUUUCUUGUAUGAAGACAGAAGUCUUAUCCGUGUACAAAGCUUACCAUUGUCAAAUGUUGGGAAAACUGUGACUUCAAGAACUGUUAUGAAAAGCCCACAGUUGCUGAAUUCUGACUGCAUCUCCAUCCAGUGUGACAGCAUUCAAGCCACAGUUUGCUCUCUGCGUGUCCUUCCAUCACUACAAUAAAAAGAAGGUGUUGUGCUGGUGUGCAGCUGUGGCGAAGAACUAUUCUCACUGCUCACAGUUGGUCUGGAUCCUCCCCCCCAAACCAAAUAAAAGAUGGAGGUAAUCUCUCUGAGAGAGCUUUCUGUUUGUUGAGGCAGGAUGAGUACUCUUGUAAAGUCUGAAUGAAUGCAGACAACUCUGGGACCCAUAAUAGGAAAGCAAACACAAUACUCCAAGCACAGGGACUCCCAAGUGAUAGGAAGUGACUUCAGCACACCAGUUCCUCUAUUCCCGUAACUCUCUGUGGGUUUGCCAAUAAUCCUUAUCGUCUUUGCUGAGAAAGGAGUGCCUUUGCUAACUGAUUACAUCCUCCUUUCCUUACUGUGGUCAGCCGGUUGCUGCAUGCCAGAAGCAGCUGGCAUGAUUGAUAGAUAAACAUAUGUCUCAGCAUAUUUUCCCUUGUCUGCUAUAACUAUCCAGCUCUGCAGCAGUUCUAGAAAGGGGUGAAACAACACAGAGCAGUUUUGUCACCAAUACUGUUUUCUAGAAACACUACCCAGCAAAUCUCCACUUUUUUUCAUGCUUCCAAUCAAAGCAGCACAGAACUCUGUGCAGGAAAGUCACAGCCAUCCCUACCUCCUCUGACCAGAGCUUGUCCCACAGCCCAGCAGCCCCAGCAGACAAGGCAGUCCAUCUGCAAGACCAAGAAGAGGCAGGGCUCAAAGGGACCCUGAGAUGCCAGGCUUGAAGUGACCCUCUCAGCUACUGCCUGUGCCCCCACAAUCAGGCUGCACUUGGUCUAGCAAUGCAACCUAUGACUAGCCGAGAAACACCCCAAAGUUGAGUCUUUUGAGAAUGAGCAUGAGUGCAUUUGUUCUGGAAUUUUGGCAGGUUUGAUUAAAACUCUGGACACCUUGACUUCAAGACUUUUGGGUAGCCUGAAGGCAUUCUUUGAAUGCAAUACUACAGUCCAAGUAAGUAAUAAAAUGUUUCAGGACCACCUCUGCUCCAAGCUCAUCAUCUUUUAAACAGCACAUCAUGACAAGAGGCAUCUCAGGUCAAAUUCCAUUUUGAUUUGAGUCACUAGAGUGACAUCAGAGAUGGACUUAGCCCAGUUUGUUAAGAGACUAGGAGAUGGCCAAUUGUAUUUAUUUUUUCUUCUGGUUUCGGUUCCUGGAAUCUGGUUUAAAGAUGUGGCUCUUCCCUUGCUGUGAGCUCACGCCACGAAAUGGGCAGCGAUGCUCAAAUAGCAUCUUCUUUGACCUUUGUGGGACUGAGAUGACUGUGGUUGCUUUUUGAAGGCUUCUGCGAAGCAACCAGCAGCAGCCUCUGUACCCCAUCCCCUGAACUGCAUCUGCAGCAUCCAGCCACAGUCCCUCCGGAGGGCAGCGUGGCUCUCAGUGACGACAUUACGCUCUUAAUUUGUUCCAGUCUGUUUCACACUGACAUUUUAGCACUGACGUCAUCAGCUGCUGAAAUUUCAUUGCUGCUGCUAAGAAUAACAGCCCUUCUCAUCCCCCACCUUACACCAAAUACUUAUUUAUUAAUACAGCAAGGAUUAUCUUUUCUGACACAAAUCAGGUUCUGGUGGUUACGAGAAGCAAGAACAAAGCACAGAAGAUGCCUGCAUGUUCUGUCAGGCUGGGACAACAACAACAACAACAAAAACCAACUCAAGAGCAUAUUUACAAAAAGUAAAAGCCCUUCAAAAACCCAAUUGGAAAAACUCAGACUGAUUUGUUUUAAGCCUUCCUCACUGGACAGUCUUAAGCGCAAUGCAUUGCUUCAGUAGCCUAGGCUACAGCCCACUCCAGAAGUCACACACAGAGCCCUUUCCAAAUUCUUCCAGCCUUUGUACGUUGUAUCUUUGCUUAUAGCAGUGCAGUGUGGGCGUAAAACACUGUGAAAUCAGAAUUCCCCAUUGACUUUGGGGCCCGAACCAAAUCCUAUUGAUUUCCGUGGGAGGAUUUCCAUUAACUCAAAUGGGCAUUGAAUCAAACCUAAAUUGGCAGUGCUUUGCACCCAUUUGGCAUAGUGUAGUUGUCUGCAUAAGGUGGAGAAUUAGGUCCAAAGACACUGAGAAACGCUUUAAUUAAGAGCAUUAUUGAAGAGAGAGAGAGUUUUUCCAUCCUUAUGCUGAUAAACUGCAUUUGUUCUACACUCCUAAUGGCAAGGGGUCAUAUUUUCAGAUGCUUGGACUAAAAAUGAAGCUGAGUGCUGAGAAGAUUUCCAAAAAGAUGCUUAAAGGCAAAUGAGAUGCUGGGAAGCCCCUGAAAUCAACAGGUCCAUUAACUUAUUUACAUGUUUUGAAGAUCCUUGGAGGUGCCUAUCUGCAUCUUUGGUAGCCUUAUCAAUCCAACCAGCAAUCACUAACCUCUGACAUCAGCUGUGGGUUCAGUUGUCCAUUACACCAGCCCAGAUCCUCAUAUCCCAGUAACACAGGCAGCGUGGUUGGUUCAGGUUGGAGCUGGGACAAAAGUUCCCUGCAGACAACACAGCUCAGUGACUCUUUACCGACACACUCAGUGGGGCCGUGGCUGCAGCCACCUGUCCUCCAUCACACCUCUGCCAGGUCAUUCAGCUGGGGCACCUGAUCCACAGCUGUCCCCUGGGCUCAGGUAACCAAAGUCCCCAUGAAGCAGACACACAGGGAUCCUGGAAAUGUUAUUUUCAGGCAGCACAGGGGAAGCCAGCAGCUAGCUGAGCUUCCGUUCCAGAAGCAAUCUGAACCUAGACAGCCCUGCAUCCGGUCAAGGGGAGAAUUCUCAAAACUUCUUUGUUACUACUUUCCCAUCAACUAUGAGGUCUCUAGCAUCAUUUCCUGUAUUGCUGCUGACCCUUUUGGGGCACCUUCCUGCACUGCCUGACCUUCUGCAACUGUUGCGCUCUUUACCUCAGCAAGUGUCUUUAUUGUGAAGUAAGGAAAGUUUUGGGAGCUGGCCUUUCCAAUGGAUGCUUUUGUUGUAGGCUGCAGUACUUUGCCUGGCUGUUAUUUUUCACUUGGACUUGUGUGCUUUGGCAUGGUCACUCUGAAAAGCACAGGGAGACCAAUCAGGAGACGUGAAAGACAACAUCAAUGCUCACAAAACCGAGGGACUGCAAGAGGGGAGCCCAGCACUUUCACACUCAGAUGGAAGCCUUCCCCUAACGGGAUUCUUUACCGAGAAACCACCCAGAAAAAGUAGGUGCUGGAGAGGAAAGCAAAGUGAAAGGGUUUCCAAAGCCAAGCCUUACAGAAGGAACACGGAGAUGAGGAUUUCUCAUGAGCCCUGGCAGCUAUUUACAUCCAGCUGGGAUCACCAGCAAGGUCACUUGCUGCUGGGCUGAAGAACAGGCCCCCAGGCUGAUGCAUUCCCCUCAAACGAGGUCAGAGCCCAAGGGACGGCUGCUGCCACCUGACUUCCUCACCCCCCCUCCCGUGCUAAUUUCUUCCUCCCAUGAGUAAUUUCCCUGCACCUCCUCCCACACGCACACCCCCCAGUUCCUUGCACUGUGCAUUUUUAUGCACAAAGGGAAUGUGCUAGAUUACACCACCUGCUACUGGAAUAAGCACCAGGUAAAGGGAAAGGAAUGUGCAGAGGGAUGUGACCCGUGCAAGCCAGGGGAGAAAACUUCCUGCCUGGCACUGGCACGGGGCGGGAGCAGCUCUCCAAGCAGCUCUUGCUGACAAAACCCCACUUUGCAGGUUAAAGGCUGGAUGUGCUGCCUGCACCAAAAGGAGCCAUCUAAUUAAAGAUCACUGGAAACCACAUGCAUUUGCAGAAAUGGCCCCACUUCAGAGGAAUCUCUCGAGGCAAAUAACUCAGUCACUUUUCAAGGGCACAGACAUUUGUAGCAAUAGCCUCCGCAGCCACGCUCAUGAGGAGCGAGGCACAAGUGUUUUCAAUCCCGUACCGCGGGGCAUGAGCUGACACUCCGCUGGGGGUCAGGAAGGCAUUUCCUCCCGGAGGAUAUUAUUGUUCUGCGAUUUAUCUCAUGGGAGAUGCGUGUCUUCCUCCCAAAUACUGCCGUUAACCAUUAUUAUUAAAAAAUAAAAGAAUUAAAACAAAGAAAAGAAGAAGAAGAAAAGAAAGAAAUCCCUCAACCAGGCGCGUUCGGGCCCAACGCUCCGCUCCCAUCACCAUCCCAUCGCACCCCACCCCACCCGGGCGCGGGCAGGGCGCCGGG